UUUGAACCCUCGCCAAUGUCCGCUACUGACGACGGAAAGCUCGCGACUAACCCAGUAGUCGUUAACUCGAGUGCCUCCCACCCCUCAUUAAGGUCGAUAACUUUAAUCACCGCUUGCGCAUCCACUCUCGUCGUUCCUAUUUCGUGCCAGUCAACAACGAUGGCAUCAGCCAGUGUAUGUCACUUUGUAGUCAUCUACGUUUAUCGUCGCAUAGGGAGAUCGUCUGCUCUUUUGCAAGUGCAGCUUACAAUCUGGAGUGUGUCCAAACGGCUGGAUCCCGACCAGACUGGAUAUCUAUUGUCUUUAGUAUCCCAGACCAGCAAGCGAUAACAUCUGUGGCUGGCCUCUUAUUACGACACCUCGAACGCGCCCGAUUAUUUGCCCACUCGGUCGUUCAUCCCCAAGAAAUCGAUUAUCAUCGCGUAUAAAUCUUAUCUUAUCUAUAUACUCAACCUGUCAAGUAUUAUUGAUUUUUGUUUUCUAGAAAAUCACCGAAAUAUCGUUUUGAGAGACACAUUUCAUGUAUGUACAAUAAGCCAAUAUGUUAGAAAAAGCUGUCAUCGGCACAAUUCUAUAUGAAUGAGCCAUGAAUUAAAUGGUGGACGAUUAUUUGCAAAGCGCACAUAGUACGUUCUAGUGACAUUGAAUGAUCGCCAAAGUCGAUCUUUAUUCUCUCUCUUCUCUCUCUAUUAUAACUUCUACCAUGAUCGUUAGCGCCUAACGGCGACCGUACUGAAAGCUAAUGGCCGACUAUCAUUUUUCCGCUAUUAUCUACCGGCGAACUGUUAAUAUUCUAGUCAAGUGCUUUUAUAAUGAGAGCGUAAGACCCUACGCACAAUGGAGAAAAUAUUAGGAAUAAGAAUAAAAAAUUAAAUAUUAAAAAGAGCAAUUUGGAAUUAUUUUACUUCAAAUAAGGGAACGGAAUAGAUUAACGCAUAAUGAAUUAAAAAUUAAAAAUGAUUAAUCCAUCCCGUUCCCCUAUUUGAAGUAAAAUAAUUCCAAAUUGCUCUUCUUAAUAUUCAAUAUUUAUUCCUAUUUCUAAUAUUUUCUCUAUUGUGCGUAAGAUUAAACAUGUGGGAUAGCUUCGUUCUGUAAAUUGAAAUAAUUAUUCGACUCUCAAAUACACAUAGGGGACUCUUGUUUAUAUCAUACUGGUCUCCUAAAUCGUAUCUCAUCCAUUACUUUAUAAUUAAUGAAUUUAAAUGACAUUUAAUUUAUUAUUAUAAUUAAUUAAUUAUAAAAAUGUAA